ACAUAAACAGUAUUUGUGAAAUUUGGAUUAGAAACUAUUAUUUUAUUAGUUUAUUUUGUUGUGUUUAAGUGUUGUGUAUUUGUACCUACUGGAUAAUAUUUUCCAACAUAUUUAAUUAAGCAAAAAGCAUCUGUUUUACAGGUGUGACUGCUAAGUGGUCGUACUCGCCACUUUAACCAAGCAUUGGUGGGACCUUCAGAGAUCAUAAUGCGAAUUUCUUCAUACCAUGUAAAUCUAUAUACAUGUAUUAAUAAAUGCGUUUGCUUUA